rnacentral:rRNA from 1 species
UAGGGAAUCUUCCGCAAUGGGCGAAAGCCUGACGGAGCAACGCCGCGUGAGUGAUGAAGGUCUUCGGAUCGUAAAACUCUGUUAUUCGGGAAGAACAAAUGUGUAAGUAACUAUGCACGUCUUGACGGUACCUAAUCAGAAAGCCACGGCUAACUACGUGCCAGCAGCCGCGGUAAUACGUAGGUGGCAAGCGUUAUCCGGAAUUAUUGGGCGUAAAGCGCGCGUAGGCGGUUUUUUAAGUCUGAUGUGAAAGCCCACGGCUCAACCGUGGAGGGUCAUUGGAAACUGUAAAACUUGAGUGCAGAAGAGGAAAGUGGAAUUCCAUGUGUAGCGGUGAAAUGCGCAGAGAUAUGGAGGAACACCAGGGGCGAAGGCGACUUUCUGGUCUGUAACUGACGCUGAUGUGCGAAAGCGUGGGGAUCAAACAGG